UUCGUAGGCGGUGCGGCAAGUUGGGAGUGAAAUCUCUGGGCUUAACUCAGAGGCUGCUUCCAAAACUGCCGUGCUUGAGUGUGAGAGAGGCUCGUGGAAUUGCAGGUGUAGCGGUGAAAUGCGUAGAUAUCUGCAGGAACACCCGUGGCGAAAGCGGCGAGCUGGAUCACAACUGACGCUGAGGAACGAAAGCUAGGGGAGCAAACAGGAUUAGAUACCCUGGUAGUCCUAGCCCUAAACGAUCAGGACUUGGGGUGCCGCCCGUUCGGGCGUCGUCCCGGAGCUAACGCGUUAAGUCCUGCACCUGGGGAGUACGGUCGCAAGACUGAA
rnacentral:rRNA from 1 species